UAGAAAUUGUCCCUAUCUACUAUCUAGCGAAACCACAGCCAAGGGAACGGGCUUGGAAAAAUCAGCGGGGAAAGAAGACCCUGUUGAGCUUGACUCUAGUCUGACUCUG
rnacentral:ncRNA from 1 species